CAGCUGCCUCGCACAAAAAAUGAAAGGAAUAAAAAAACUCCGAUUGUGGAUGCUCACUUCUGAGUCUAUUUCAAUGGCAAGGUUUAUCAAUCCUGACCUUCACCGCCACCUUGGUAUCAGCUUUGACUGUUCUUGCAGUAGUCAUAGCUACAUAUACCCCAUUUAAUAAGCAGGUAAGUUAUAGUUUUCCUAAUGAACUGAGA